rnacentral:tRNA from 1 species
GGAGGAUUGGCCGAGUGGCAAGGCACCGGCUUGCGCUGUGUUCACUCCAGAGCAAGUCGUGGUCGGGUUAACGCCCGCGCACGUUCGAUCCGUGCAUCCUCCG